rnacentral:lncRNA from 1 species
GGGUGCUUGGAGCAUCCACAUAACAGAGGCGGCUGCGGUCCUGGCCCUCUGAGGUGACUGGGCACUUAGGUCAGUGGCCCUGACCACAACGAUGCCACUGUGCACAGCACGGUGCACAGGGACCCUCACUGCUCCUCGCGAGCGCGGUGCGGGCUCCACCCAUUCUCCGCAUUCAAGCUCCACGCCCGCUUCACCCACCCGAGGCACUGGUGCUACUGCGGUGUGUGCCAAACUCAGAAAUCCCCAAACCACCAGCCCGGCCUGUUUCAGGGGAAGCUCCAAGCACCCCUCUCCCAAACCUUUCUCCAUCCAGCCCAUCACCGCUUAAAGCCUGGGGCUUUCACAACCGAAAAUGCAGGUGGGGAUUCUCUGCCGGAAGCAUGGGAUUUCUGUUUUUGGCUCAACAUCCCCCAAACCAUUCAUAAACCCUCGAAGCAAUGAAAGGCGGAACAGAGAGGAGAAAAAACACUCAACAGCAGCAAGAGACAGUCCACAAACUAAAAUCCAUCCUGACACGGCCCCUGUGGGUUGGGCAGAGGAUUCCUCAGCUCGGACACCCAGCCUCACCACCCCAAGGGGGAAUUCCCAGGGACCUCCACAAUGCAGCACCUCCCUGCGAGCAGUUUUCCCUGCCCCCCAGUGGGCAGACGUUGAGUUCCAUCAGUGUGCAACCUUAGCAAACCUCUCUGUCACCCAGUGGCAUGGCCAUCCCGUCUUCAACAAGGAGCCUACGGAAGCAUGAAGCUUGCGUGUAUGCCUCGUCUGGACCCCGUGAGUUCUGCCUGCCUUCUCUGGGUCCCUCAGGCUUAAAAUUUUUUUUAUAGUAAAAACUUUGAAAGGAAGAGGAGUGUGAAAGCCUCAUCUGAGUGUUUGUUGUGCCUCAGUCUCAGCCCCUGGAAUUAUUCAGAUAACUGCUCCCUGAAACCUCCUCACAGUGGCCCAAAAUAUUAGGUCAGUCUAAGACAUGAUAACUGAAGCCAGAAACCGCAGACCCUGGUUGGCAGCUUAACUUUUAAAAAAUUGAAGAAUGGGGGCAGCUGAUACAGGUUCGUUGAGAUGACAAGCUUUCCGCCAGCCAUAGUCUCUUUCAAUAGACCAGGAAAAGGUUACCAAAUAUUUACAAGCCUGUUAUCAUAAAACUUAAGUUAAAUCUAUAUUUAUUCUGUAUCUGGUUAUCUUAACAUUGUGUCUCUAAAUUCUUUCUUAAGAGUGAGGAAGAACUUUCUUAUAAAUUAAGUUAUUUUUAAUGGGGAAUAUUCACUUGUAACUUAGAAUCUACAUAUUUGUUGCAUGAAACUUUGUUAGAAUUUUGAUGUAGAAAGCUGUUUAUUCUCUUCAAGUUUAUAGUUUAUAUCAAGUUUAUAGCUAUGUUUGGAGUAGGCUUGAUAUUACCUGCCACGACUGUAAUAAUUUCCUAAGUCUUCACUGAUCUAUUCUGUUUCACUAAAGAUCCAUGUAAACUCUCUUAAACUUAGGAACAAAGCUAAAGCAUUUACUACUGUAAAAUUCUGUUUUGUUUUGUUUCUUUACUGAUUGGUUCAAAAUUGUUUUAAAAUUCUGGGGUUUUUUUACA